GUGGAGCAUGUGGCUUAAUUUGACUCAACGCGGGAAAUCUUACCGGGUCCGGACACACUGAGGAUUGACAGGCACUAUACGAGAGUCGCGGCGAAGAGAUUCGCUAGCCCCUCGUAGCUAAAUAUGCUAGUCCUUUCAUGAUUAUGUGAUAGGUGGUGCAUGGCCGUUCUUAGUUCGUGGAGUGAUCUGUCUGCUUAAUUGCGUUUCGCUAAAGGGUCUUACAGCUGACAGCGUCUCACGUGCUCAGUGCCUCAAAACCACUGGGCCGUAGGUGCACCUAUUGUGAGCUUUCGACCCUGAAAGCAACGAACGUGACCGCAACCUCUUGUUGUGCUGAGCAUAGCACAAACUAGAGGGACCGCUGUUACUUUUCUUAAACCAGAGGAAGGUUGCGGCAAUAACAGGUCUGUGAUGCCCUUAGAUGUUCCGGGCUGCACACGUGCUACAAUGAUCAUUGCAGUGAGCAUCUCACACUCUACCGGAUAAUUCGUUAUCUCAACUGGUCUACCUGCGCUGUUGGCAGAUAUUCGCAUCUCUCACUCGACGUGAGCUAUAGCUCAACCCGUUAGCCUUUUAUUGGGUCGACACCCUGAGCUCUACUCGCACACGAAGUGUGAUGUGUCUGUGUGUCUUACAUGUGCGGUGGCCUUAGCCUACCUCGAGACGUAUGCUUGGGUAAUCAAUUACCAGUCAUGACUUCCAAUAUCACACACUGAUAUACGGCAUCGUUACCGCCAAGGCUCUUAAGACUCCGGUCUCAAGAGGCUAGUGCGUCUGUAUCUGAUGUUUUUUAACCGUAUGUGCGAUUGUCAAUUCAUGGUGGGAACAGACCAUUGUUAACUGUUGGUCUCGGUCGUAACUAGGAAUGCCUUGUACGGGUCCAGUUCAACAGACUACCCGGAAUACGUCCCUGCCCUUUGUUCACACCGCCCGUCGCUCUUGCCGAUGGACCUCACUGUGAGUUUGCCGGACUGGCUAUACUCGAUUAGCUAUACCAAGGUACACGAACAGUGUCGUCUAAAG
rnacentral:rRNA from 1 species